rnacentral:rRNA from 1 species
UACGUAGGGGGCAAGCGUUGUCCGGAAUUAUUGGGCGUAAAGCGCGCGCAGGCGGUUCUUUAAGUCUGGUGUCUAAGUGCGGGGCUCAACCCCGUGAUGCACUGGAAACUGGGGAACUUGAGUGUAGGAGAGGAAAGCGGAAUUCCACGUGUAGCGGUGAAAUGCGUAGAGAUGUGGAGGAACACCAGUGGCGAAGGCGGCUUUCUGGUCUGUAACUGACGCUGAGGCGCGAAAGCGUGGGGAGCAAACAGG